AGCAGCCGCGGUAAUUCCAGCUCCAAUAGCGUAUAUUAAAGUUGUUGCAGUUAAAAAGCUCGUAGUUGAAUUUCGGGGUUCUUCCGUUGGUCAGGCUAACAAGUCUGUACUAGCGUGUAGAAUCUCUACCUUCUGGGGAACCAUCAUGUUAUUAAUUUAGCGUGGUGGGAAACCAGGACCUUUACCUUGAAAAAUUAGAGUGUUCAAAGCAGGCUUACGUCUGAAUACAUUAGCAUGGAAUAAUAAAAUAGGACGGUGGUCCUGUUUUGUUGGUUUCUGAAUCACCGUAAUGCUUAAUAGGGAUAGUUGGGGGCAUUAGUAUUCAAUUGUCAGAGGUGAAAUUCUUGGAUUUAUUGAAGACUAACUUCUGCGAAAGCAUUUGCCAAGGAUGUUUUCAUUAAUCAAGAACGAAAGUUAGGGGAUCGAAGACGAUCAGAUACCGUCGUAGUCUUAACCAUAAACUAUGCCGACCAGGGAUCGGACGAUGUUAAUUUUUUAAUGACUCGUUCGGCGCCUUACG
rnacentral:rRNA from 1 species